UACAGAGGGGGCGAGCGUUGUCCGGAAUUACUGGGCGUAAAGAGCUCGUAGGUGGUUUGUCACGUUGUCCGUGAAAACUCACAACUCAAUUGUGGGCGUGCGGGCGAUACGGGCAGACUGGAGUACUGCAGGGGAGACUGGAAUUCCUGGUGUAGCGGUGGAAUGCGCAGAUAUCAGGAGGAACACCGGUGGCGAAGGCGGGUCUCUGGGCAGUAACUGACGCUGAGGAGCGAAAGCGUGGGGAGCGAACAGG
rnacentral:rRNA from 1 species